CUCCCCCAAGAGUUCACAUCGACGGGGAGGUUUGGCACCUCGAUGUCGGCUCAUCGCAUCCUGGGGCUGUAGUCGGUCCCAAGGGUUGGGCUGUUCGCCCAUUAAAGCGGUACGCGAGCUGGGUUCAGAACGUCGUGAGACAGUUCGGUCCCUAUCCGUCGUGGGCGUAGGAAAUUUGAGAGGAGCUGUCCUUAGUACGAGAGGACCGGGAUGGACAUACCUCUGGUGUACCAGUUGUCGUGCCAACGGCAUAGCUGGGUAGCUAUGUAUGGACGGGAUAAGUGCUGAAAGCAUCUAAGCAUGAAGCCCCCCUCAAGAUGAGAUUUCCCAACUUCGGUUAUAAGAUCCCUCAAAGAUGAUGAGGUUAAUAGGUUCGAGGUGGAAGCGUGGUGACACGUGGAGCUGACGAAUACUAAUCGAUCGAAGACUUAAUCAA
rnacentral:rRNA from 1 species